CAGUCGCCGCGGGAAUACGUAGGUGGCAAGCGUUGUCCGGAAUUAUUGGGCGUAAAGCGCGCGCAGGCGGAUCAGUUAGUCUGUCUUAAAAGUUCGGGGCUUAACCCCGUGUGGGGAUGGAAACUGCUGAUCUAGAGUAUCGGAGAGGAAAGUGGAAUUCCUAGUGUAGCGGUGAAAUGCGUAGAGAUUAGGAGGAACACCAGUGGCGAAGGCGGCUUUUUGGCCUGUAACUGACACUGAGGCGCGAAAGCUAGGGGAGCAAAUGGGAUUAGAUACCCCCGUAGUCCCUGUCUCUUAUACA
rnacentral:rRNA from 1 species